AUCUAUAAUAGGUGCUCUAUUCCCACAAGCCAAGUUGCUAAAGAGAGGGUCUGAAAGAAAGCACCAAGAAUUUAUUCAGUUUGCACAAGAACGCUGCAGUAUCUGAAACAUGUCUUUAAUAAGAUAUGAGAGCCAUCUAUAUAAUGCACAUGACAGAUCCACAAGCUGGUAAAUGCCUGUGUGAGCAUGCACUACAGAUUGUUAGAAUCAAUCAUCAUGUUCAAAACCUCAAAUCAGAUUCAUGGUGGGUGCUUUAUUAGGAUAGUUGGCUACUUUUAGUCCUUUAUUAUGUGGAUAUUGUAUGGAUGUGAUUCCCUAUUUUAAUCUACUUAUAGGGAUUUAGCUUUGUUCAAUUCGUCCUCCAAAACUACAUCAAUGUUCGUCGGGUUACUAUUGCUAAAGGAGAUGCCAAAUUUUCUUAUAUUUAUACUAGAAAUGUCUGUGCAGAUUUUCUCGUUUGUCCCUUGUUGUUCUUCUUUUUAUGGACAUGUCCGUCUAUAAUUGUAUUUGAUUUUGAUCCACACAUAUUUGUUUGAGUAAAGUGUUUCUAAUCAUUAGUUAUGUUGCCAGAGUAUAAAUAUUGAAUGUGUGUUGGUACGAGAUAAAAUAUCCUCUGGUAGAAACAAAAUUUUGCAUGUUAAGAUCGUCACCAAGUAAAUAAUCAACUAAUAAUAGUGUUUGUUGAGACCUCCAUUGAUCUACUAAGAGUGAUUAAGAGUGUCGGCUGAGGUGCUCAAUGUAUAUAUAAACCCAAGUUAGUUCCUCCAGUAUGAGGAUGGGCUGAAGGCUAAAAUUGUUUCUUUUUUCUAGUUAAAAAGUAAUACCAUUGAAAUGAGAAUUCUUGUUUUCUUUACUGUGGUAUUAGUUAUUAAUUAAUUUGCCAUAGAUGUCUACUCAAUUGAGCAAACCACAAAUGUCAAUCUUUCGAAAGGAGGCGAAAGGAACUUUUCUAUUCAAAGUUCUAUAUGAGACAUUUAUAGGUGGUAAGACUCUGGAGAACCUACAUACUUCCUGAAAGUCCUUUCAGAUUCUUGUAAAAAGAAGAUGAAAAAGGCGCUAUGAAGGGAAGGUCAAGUUUAGCAGAAGAAGAAGUAUUGUUACUGCAAAAGCAGUAGAAUGUGGCCUGUGUAAGCCAGGAGAUGUUGGCAUCAAAAACUCAAGGUUUGUUGGUAAACUUCUCUACAUUAAUACCGAAACAGUUUUUUUCCCUUGCUUCUUAGUGCAUAAACCAUGCUAAGCUGAUCCAAUCAUCAGUAUUUUGCAAUGAAAUCUUUCUACCAAUUUGACCUGUUGUUCUCCACAGAGAAAAGGUACCUUGAGGAGCUAACAAAUCUGUUAAACUACCAAGUACAAGAGAUGAAAUCAAUGAGUAGUGCCUUAGAAAAGCUCAAAGGGGUUUUCAGAUUCCAGCGACUGGAGCUGCAGACAAGAAGUUGAUAGGUGAAUUUACAGAGAAAUUGGGGGUCCAAAGAUGAGCUAGAAAACAUAUUGGAGGAAUAUAGGAAGACGAAAGGAAGCAGUGGACUUGAUGAUAAGAGUUUGGUUGAAUUUAGGAUAUAUGUGAGGGAGAUAGUGGAAUAAGAGAUAGAGAAAUAUGUCGCAGAUGGAUUAGGGAGGGUGGAUUAUGCAUUGACCAAGGGAGGGUGUCGAGUGGUGAUGCUUUUAGUUUGCUAACUAACCAGAAUGUGGUUAGUACUGAUUCUAAGAAGAUACUUAACACUCAGCUUUCGAGAAACUGGCCAGUGUUUUCCCCUUAAAGGAGAUAGCAACUUUGUUCAGAUUUGUGUCCGGACAGCUAUUAUACCUGAAGUUGUCUCGUGGAACAUGUUGCUAAGGUAACACCUUUCUUCAUUGGACAGUUAUAAUGAUUCUAUUGUAUCAUGUUUUCUCUAUCUUGUGAUGGUGCUGACACUGAUUGUUUAGUACGGUGUGUUUAUUUGGGCUUCACAUAUAUAUGUGACUAUUUAUGUUAUAACACAUUAUGAGAUGAUAAAGCUUGUGCUGACUUCUUUUGAUCCAAUUUUUUUUUGUUGGAUUGCUAUUAUUUUACUUUGUAUGUGUUUUGGUGGUUUCAAUGUGAAAUUUUUUGUUAUUAGAUAAUCUUUUUUGAGGGUUUUUGUACAACUAAAAAUUAAUAAUCGGCAAUGGGUUCUCCUUUUUUUUUUUGGUAAUUAGUUGAAUUUUUUAAUUGAAAAACUGAAUCACAAGCAUUGAUGUUGCCAAUAAACGUUAGUUUUCUACUACCUUGCUAUGUCAAGAGCCAACAGUCAAUUAGUUACCAUUCAAAACCACAUACAAAUGGAACUAGUAUCAACCAGCUAAUCAGUCUAGCUAUUUAAAAACACACCUCCAUGGAAAACGUGCCUUCAAAUCAUUCACUUUGCUUAUGAAGAUGAGCAGUAGGUUACUUGACGUCGAACAAGGACUGAAAUGCAACGUCUCUUGUGUGCAAGUGCUGGUACAAUGUGGAGAGAUUGAGCAGAAGAGAGAUCAUAAUUGAGAAUUGCCAUUGCCUGAUACAAUGCGGACGGAUUAAGCAAAAGAAAGGUCAUAGUUGGAAAUUGCCAUGGAUUUGUCUUUUCGAUUUAGAGCUUUUCCUACUUUCUCAAUCUUUUCCUGGUUCUUUGAAGUCCUUGGUUUUGAUUAGCCAUCAAACUUCUUCCGACACUUUCUAUCUCGAUCAGAUUGUUUUCAAUUGCAAAUAGGUUUACGUUUUGUCUGUGUUAUUUGAUAAUUUGAGAGUAGGUACAUCCCUGCUAGCUGCUCUGUUUAGUUUUGUCAUAAAUUUUUAUUUUAAUUUUAAAUGGAGACGAGAUUAUAAUGUGGAAAAUCGAACCCUCCUCACCAUCAAGGCUAAGUAGUCGUUGCUACUAAUCUCCACUGUGUCCUGAAAUUUGUUUGUCAUGCAGGUCGUUAUGAUAGUUGCUAUUUCAAGAAUCAACCCAUGAAAUGUUUUGUUUCUUGGACAGCUACAUCACCCUUGUCUCAUUAAAUUUUCCUUUCCCCUUGUCUCAUUAAAUUUUCCUUUCCUUACUAAAAAUAUUCCCAUCAAGUCUCUGGCGAGACUGGUGGUCAGAUGUCCAAACGUACUAAGUCUGAGAUUAAAUAGAAGCAUCACUACAAAUGUUCUUCUAGGGGUUUUGGUUAAAGCUCCCCAGUGACCCAGGAUUUGAAGAGCGCGGGCACCAUUAUCUUAACAUAAGUGCUCGAGAAUCUUCCAAUGACGACUGAGGGAUAGUAUUGUAUGUGAUUGAUUGACUGAUCAGUAAAGGUUUAAGCAAUGACGAAAAUACAAAUAUAUAGGCCGAAUAUGGGUUUUAGGAUAAUAUAUAAACCUUAACAUUUUAUAAAUAGAUGAGUGUAGUAGCCCAGCGGUUAAGGGUGGACUGUGUAAGCUAAUAGGUUGCAGGUUGGAUUCCUCACUACUACUUUUGUUGUUAAAAAAUUAAUAACAUAGAACAUAGAAAAAGAAACCGGGUCACAUUGCAGGAAACAACAUUUAGAACCAACGUGCCCAAGGUGCUAUUGUGUUCUCUAGGGUGCACAUAAUUUAUAUAACAGUUUCUUAAGGUAUAUACAUGUACACAUACACAACUUUUUCCGAACUUACUGGGUGCACGUGCACCCCCACCCGAACAUGUGGGUCCGCCCCUGUGGGAGUGGGGUCCUAUGUUGUAUUUCCAACGACUUACAAUACACUAGCAAAUGCUCUACUGAAGUGUACUUUGAUUAGGAGCUUGACUGGGUUCAACUCUUGCAUAGAAUAUCCUCGCAUGUUGCCUUCUAUUUUUACACGGUCACAAUUUGAUAUCCUUAAAAUUCCAUCCUUCAGGUCUAAGUUGUGUUGAUGUUAACAGGAUGAUUCGUCGAGGCAUCAAGCUAGAGUCCAUAUGGGUUUGUUUGAUCCCUUUCUAUAUGUAUAAUCAUCCCUAUUUUUUUUUAUAAAUAAACUACAUACGUACAUGGACUGCGUACAUCUUACCCCCCCCCAGACCCCACUAAGUGGGAAUACACUGGGUUUGUUGUUGUUGUUGUUGAAACUACAUACGUACAUGGAAUGAUAGAUAAUGUUUUUUUAUAGAUUAAAGGUUCACUCAUUACAGAUGAAGUGCUCAAUGUUUUGGGUUCUAACUGUAGGAGUUGGAGGAACUAAGGAUUUUUGUGAAUCCAGGCACCCCUCGGGAUCUUUGUAUUACUGAACAAGGCUUGGUUAAUCUGUUUGUUGGUUGCCAAAGCUUAAAAGAUUGAAGUAUAUAUGCCACGAGAUUUCUAAUGACACCAAUAACUAGGCAGAAACUCGUUCCACUUUAGUUAGUUUCUUCUUGUUCUCUACUUGGGAAGACUUCGGUCAAAGUGUUGACGAUGUGAUGGUUAUGCAGCCUCUUGAUUAAGGUUUCUGAAGCAGUUGUCUAGUUAUGCAAAGGCCUUAAGUAGUUGAGUCUCCCUAGGCAUUUAACUGAUCAAGUAUUCUUAUACAUUAGGAAUGUGUGUUGAACAACUUGAGGUGCUCACCGUAGACUUAGUCAAGGUGUGCAGUGUAGUUAGGUCUAUCAGAACAUUAUCCGAUCAUCAAGUACCCCACUUUGUUGGAGAUAGUGAAAAGAAAAUUGUGUGUUGAAUGAAUGCAAGAACUUGAAAGUACUUGAUAUUAGGAAUAGCAGCUUUGAUAAUACAACACUCUUGGAGGACGUGAGCAAGUAUUAAAGGAUUUUAAGCUUCCGCAUAAUGUCGUGUUAUUUUGAUUGUAACAUUUUUAGCAAUUAGAAUUAUCUCAUACUUCAAUUGUCAAUUUUAGUAUAAUCAAAGCCCAAAUAUCUAUUACAAUAGACUAACAUAUUUUAGAUACUAUAUAUAUAUUUAUAUUACUUAAAUAGAUAUAAAAAUUUAUUUUAAGGUCAAUUGUUAUGUUUGAAUAUUUUUUUCCUUCGUGUAUAUAAUUUUAUUGAUUGGAGUCUUACUUUUCUUGGUUACUUCAUUUGAAGUCAACAUUGUUAUUUCGUCCAAUUUUUCAGUCUGGGAUGAAUCCAUUCAUGUGUUGAUUAUAUAUAAUCCAUACUAACUAAAAGAAAUAAAGAAUGACGGAAAGAUUGAAACUAAAUGUGAUAUUUGCUUAAUUAGCUAUUUAUUUGCUUAAUUUUUUUAACUUUUUAGCUAUUGUUCGACAAGAUUACCCUUUUGAAAAUCUUAAUUAUCAAUUAUUUUCUUAGACUUUUAGAUUUAUCGAUUCAUGUUGAGUUCCAACAUCGGUUACUUAUGGAUAAGAUCUAUUGCAUGAUAUUGGGCAAUCUUCAGCCCGUGAAAUUAGUUUUUUCUAUUGAGUUGUGUCUGUGCUCCAUUUUCUAUCAUGGUGGAUAGCUCAGUAUAGGAGAAAACAGGAAGGAUAAUGGUUAUGAGGAGGAGCUAGCUAAAUAUGGGACAAAACGUAGAGGACAAUGGUUAUGAGGAGCUUCUGAACUAUGAAGAAGCUAACGAAGAAAAUGUUGAUUUAGCUACAAAAGCGAAUGCUUAGUUGUCCAAAAAUGAUGUCUUUGCACUAAAGUUAAUUUUUCAAUGUAUAUUACUAUUUAUUUUAUCAUUUUGCUAUUUAUCGUCUAUGAGGAAUAACUUUUUUACCUCACAAUGUUAGGACAAAAAGAUAUACAUCAUGCUCUCUACAAACUUUACUUGUGUUGAGUGUGUUCUUAUUAUGUCUAAAUUCAAGAUAUUAACAUUGCAUUUAUUUUAAUGUACAUAUUUCUGCCAUUUACUUCA